CGGAAGGCAGGUUCUGCCCGGGCUGCGGCGGCUCCGGCGGGUGCGGAGAGAAGUGGGAGUGAUCUGCUCGCGUACAGGUCAAGAAUGAUAUCAUCAAGCUCAGAUGGCCAGCCGGAGCACUCGAAGAAGAAUUUCAGCCCAACGAGGCAUUGGAACAUUGCCAAGAUCAUCCUGCUCAUCAGCAUGGGCAUGUGUCUCAUGUUGGUCGUCGAGAACAUGCGACUCCGUUCGGUGGUAGACAUGUCAAUACAAGAGGCAGACAAGAUAGAUCUGCGGUCUGAAGUCCAUCAAAACGGCCAGAAGGAGAAAGCUUUCAAGCACGUCACACCUCAAACCAACACCCAGACCGGGAGCAAGGAGGAAGUGCCUGGUCUUCACGCUUCCGAAGGCCAACCGCUCGUCCAGGGAAAGGAGAAUGCCUCCAAGCCCACAUCGCCAAAUGGACGUUCCGACACCCAGGAAGAGGACGAAACCCAUAGAAAAUCGGCGUUAGUAUCCCAUGAUCAGCAGGAGCGUGA